rnacentral:lncRNA from 1 species
AAUAAAAGUAGCACAACAUCUCAAAGCACACUGCACAAUCAUGUGGAUGAAGGCCUGUACUGACCUUUCAUGAGACGACCAAGAUAAAAUAUGAAUCUACCAUCACGAAUAGAAAAUCCAAUCUCGUUUUGUGCAGUUGCACUGAAAUGAAGCAAAGUGUCUCGCGUAGUGAAGCAAAAUGUCGCAAUAGCAACAAAUUGAAUAGAUAUCCAUGUUUUAACAGUGGCAAAAAUGGAAACAAUUACUUGCCGAUAAAGGAGGAUGAAACAAACGGUGACAGAAAGAAGCAUCUAACUUAUCUUGAUGGAAAACAAAGUAGGAUAGUAGCAUUUCUAAAGCAAUUGCAUUGAUUCAUAUUAACAGAGACAUUCUCUUACAAUAACAUUCGUUAAAAAAAUGUAAUAAUUAUGAAAGUGGAUUUGGAGAGGUCAUGACUUUAUUUAGUGAUGAAUCCACUAUUUCAGAAGAGGUUCCAAUUGAUUAUGAUAACAAAGUUGCUAUCUAUGAUGAUUAUUGUGGUGACUUGUAUGCUAUUAAUAAUAAUGAUAACCAUGAAACUUGUCAUCAUGAUUUUAGUUUUCAAUUGGAUUAUGCUUCACAUGUUAGUUAUUUUGUUGAGUUUGCUCCCACUACUAUUCAUGAGAAGAAAUUUGCUUAUGUGGAGAGUAAUAAAAAUUCUAUGCUAGUAGAUCAUGAAAAGAAUGAUUUAUGUGCUGGUUAUAUUGUUGAAUUCAUUCAUGAUGCUACUGAAAAUUAUUAUGAGGGAGGAAUAUAUUCUUGUAGGAAUUGGAAUAAUAUCAAGUUUCCUCUCUAUGUGCUUAAAAUUUUAAAGUUAUGCUUGUUUUGCCUUCCUAUGCUAGUUGAUUAUUGUUCCCAUAAAUUGUUUGCUCACAAAAUCCCUAUGCAUAGGAAGUGGGUUAGACUUGAAUGUGCUAGUCAUAUUUGUCGGAUUUCGGGUUCCGGCAGACCCUCUAGAUUCGAACACUGGGGUGCACGCGGAGAUCUCGCCCUCUACCUACCUGCACCUCACCGCCUCGCUAGGAUCUAAGCAAUCAAAGGAACAGCACAAGAGACACAGGGUUUAUACUAGUUCGGGCCACCAUUGUGGUGUAACACCCUACUCUAGUUUGUGGUGUGGUGGAUUGCCUCUUGGGCUGGUGAUGAACAAUACAAGGAAGAACAGCCUCGCGAGGGUCUGUUCUUGGCUGGUGCGAUGAACUGCUAGCAGGAGUUCAGUCGCUCUUUCUACUGGUUUCCUAAUAAUCAUCCGAUGCCUCUACCUUGUGGGUGGCUAGUCCUAUUUAUAGGCGGAGGCCCUAGGCCUCUUCCCAAAUAUUGAGCGGGAAGGGCGCCAACAAUUGGCCAUUUUGAAGGGGAACAUCCAGUACACUUAUCCUGACUAAAGCUGGUCCUCGCCUGUCAAAGGCUCUGGUGGUGACGCCUUCCUGGGCUCCAUGAUGACUUCCUUCCUGCCAUUGCGACGGUCUUGGUCUUGUUGCACCGAAAUGGAUGCCUUUGCUUGAUGCUCUCGCCUGCGCUUGCCCCCUUUGCACCAAAGAGGAAAGAAGGACACUACGUGGGCUGGCGCCCUCCUGGCGCCCUUGGUCGUCAUGGCUUGCGUCAUGGGCACCUCGUGAGGUACCCCGCCUUGAUCUCUCCGCCUCCUCGUGAGCCAGCCUGACGAGGCCGUGCCUGAGGAAGCUUCCUGUCGUCCACCCCGCGAGGCUUGGCCCCUCGCGAGGGUAUUGAGCUCGUGCUGAUGAAGAUGGGCCAUGUUGGGCCGCCCCUUGAGCCAUGCCGCAGGCCGCAGGUAGGCAAGUCUGGGGACCCCCGUUCCCAGAACGCCGACAGUAGCCCCCGGGCCCAAGGCGCGCCCGGACUUGGCUGAGCAGAGAAGCGAAGGGGUAAGUGUGAAGCGCCACGGGCCCUAACAGCCUGCGGCCUCGGGCGCCGUGUGGCGGUCGAUUGGACGUGGGCGGCCCUGUUCCCCCACGCCUCCUUAUUUUGCGCCCAGCUAGGCGGACCCGUGGUUGCACAUAGUCAUUCCUCUUUUUGCUGCUCGACCGUCCCCUGCUCUUCCUCCUCUCGAGCUCCAGUCUCUGCUUCCAAUCCAAUCUCGAAUCCUCCCUCUUCCCAUUGCCAUGGCUCCGACGAAGAAGGGAAAAGGGAAGAAACUGGUGCCUCCGCCUCGCUCGCCGUCAUUGGCGGCUCCCGCCGUCGAUCCGUCAAUCAUACUGAACCGAGAAGGCUUGGGCAAGGUCAGCUCUGCUCUGGCCACUAUCUUCAAUGAGUGAAGGAGGACGACGGCCUAGCCCGCGUCCCACUUCUCCAUCGACAGAGUAGUCACUGAGGUCCGGUACUUUGCCGACGCCCUGUGGGCGGGAUUGGUUCCCCCCUUUUCCAAUUUCUUCAACGCUGUGCUUUCCCAUUCCCAGAUCCAUAUGAUGCAUUUGGGUCCUGAAUCCAUUACCCUUCUUGCCGUCUUCGCCUUUGUCUGUGAGGCGAUGAUGGGCAUCCCUCCUUCGGUUGCCUUGCUGCGCCACUUUUUCUCUCUGCGCCUUGUCGAUCCCACCCAAUGCUCAGGGUGCGUGAGCUUCAUUGCCGCACCAGAAACAGCGGCCUCAGGGAUUGAUUUCAGCCUUCCUCCGUCCGCGCCUGGGUUCCGCGAGCGGUGGCUGUACGUGGAUGUAGGGGUGCCCAGCCCCCUGCUUUAAGAUCCAAUGUCGCCCGCUGUCCCCAAUUCAGGCUGGGGCCAGGAGACGCUCACGAGCCCCCGGCUCAUCUUUGUCUGGCGUCGCUUCGCGCUCUUGAGGGAGCUCGGCGUGACGGUGCCCAAGGUGGUGAAGGAGUUCCUGCUACGCCGCAUUGCUCCUCUCCAGCGCCACUCCCGCCGGAUGUGGGCCUUCAGCGGGCGUGAAGAUCGCAUGAGGCUCCAGGAGGAUGACCUGACGCCCGAAGCGCUGAGGAAAUUGCUCUUGGUCUUGACGGGGGACCCUUCCCCCGGAAGCGUCCGGCGAGAGGGGGCUUUGCUGUAACUUUGCUUGAACAGGGGCGACUUUGUGAAUUAGAUGCCCGGCUUCGACAAAUGGGGGCUGCGCCCCGCUGGCCUCACGGGUCCUCGCGAGAACCCAGUGGUGGUGACUGCCCUCCCAGUCGCCCACGGUGGUCCUUCCUCGAGUGGUGGAGUAGGGAGGCAUGGGCCGCUGGAGGCUGAGGGGGCCCCCACCGGGGUAACGAGUCAGGCGGCACUCCUGAGGGGGCAGCUCCUAAGGCCCGUACUCCUACGGCUGAAGGCGCUGGGGCGCUGCCCGCGGCACCCGUGGUUGAGGCCCCUGGGGCCCCAGCUAUCCUUCUUGGUGAGGCGACCGGCGGCGUGCAUCAGGACGACGCCCCCGAUGCUGGGCAUCUUGACGCUUCUUCCUCGCCGCAGGCUGACCCCUACGCUCAACUCCUGGGUCACUUCCGUGUGGACUUCGAGGCUCUCCGGAAGAGAAGGGAGGCCUUGGGUGACGAUUACCCUUGCCGACUGCUGAAGUGCCAGAAGUAUUUCGCCAUUGAUGAGUAAGCCUUCCCCUUUCCUAGCUCUUGAUCCUCCCAUUGCUUUGGCUGAUCCUUGCUCUGCAGGGCCCUUCCUGCCGAGCUCACGGAGAUGGCUGAGGAGCCAUCCCCCCAGGCUCUACCCUCUCCACCGUCUUCGAGUGCUCCGAGCUCAAGCAAAGCCCUUGCAGUGAGGCCGGUCGGAGAGGUGAGCCAUCCUGUGGUGCAUUGCGGCUCUACGUGCCUCGUGACCCUCCUUCGCGAGCCUUCUCGGGGCGUAUCCAGCCUGCCUUGGGCUUCGCGUCUGGUCGUGGAUGGCGAUUGGUGAGGUCGGCCCGGUGCUCUUCAUUUGGGGAUGGGCUGGCUCCUGGCCGGGCUUCUGGCCAGGCGUGCCCGGCCAUCGCGAGGGCGCCAGCCCCCAACCCCCUGCCCAGAGGGGGAGUGUUGAUUCGUGGCCCCCCGCGCUUACUUGGGGCGGAUGACGACAUAGAAGACGUGCCCGAGCGUGCUCGGGGGCGUCGCGCUCUUCGCCAAGAGUUCUCCGGAGGGCGGCUGACGCGGUGAGCCGGCUUGGUGAAGAGCUUGCUGGUGAAGAUGCGCGCCUCGAGGCUGAGGGCCUGCGCCUGGCUGAAGAGAGGCGCAAGCUGAAGGCGGUUGUUGCCCUUGCGCGCCACCAGCGUGACCUCGACAAUGGGGAGGCCGAGGCGUUGCUGGCAGCCUCUCGGGAGGCCCGUUCCCGGGCCGUCGAGGAGGCCCGAGAGGCUGACCGGCGGCAUGAGGCGGCAGAGGAGCGGGCGCGGGAACUCCAGGCCCGGUGCCACUCGUUGGAGCAGCAGGUGGAGCUGCGUGAGACAGCCCUUGCAUCGAUGAAGGUGGCUUUGGUCGACCAGGCAGAGCUCCUAAGGCGUGAGGAGGCACUGACGCUGGAAGCUGCUGAGCGCGCACGCGAUCUCGAACGUCUGGAGACGAGAGAGCGCUUGGUGACACAGGUGGAGGAUGAUGUCGUUGCGUGCGAGGCCCGAGUCCUCGUAGAGGUUGAACGUGGGGUGGCGACGACCCGCUUGAACCUUGAGCGCGAGUUCGAGGAGAGGUUGGGGUUGAUCCGGGUCGAGGCCGAAGGCAGGACUGCCGCCCUGAGGGCCAAGCUGGAGGAAGUGACGCGGCGGGCCGAUGCUUCCCAGGCCGCCCUCGGCGUGGCGCGGGAGGAGCUGACUACCUCCUGCACCGAGGUGCUUCUUCUACGCCAGUGGGUGGACGAGGCUGAGGCCGUUGCACGGCAGAACGAGGACGAGAUACGCCAGCGGCGGCUUCUGGAGCACGAGCACGGCCCCAUGCUCACCACGCUCCGGGAGAGAGCCAACUCAGCCUUGGGUAACAUCUACGAGGCGGCUAUUGACGAGCCCCACGCAGUCAACUAUGCUGGCAAUCUUCAGUUCUUCAUCGACAUGGUGACGCAGCUGGAGGCGCGGUCGGUUGGAGCCAACAGGCUGGUGGAGGAGAGGAGCCGCGCCCUGCUCGGGCGUGGCUUCUCUCGUGUCUUCAGCCACCUUCGGAACAUGGACCCCAACUUCGACUUUGACGCCGCCAUCGCCCAAGUGCCCUAGGCCGUCCGGGGUGACCUGGCGCGCUGGGUGGAAGACAACAUGGAUGCACUUGUUAGGGCCUUCGCUUCUGAUAACGACGACGCGGUCGUGGCUGCUGAUGAAGGUGAUGUGGUGAACGGCCCUGACGCCGCUGAUGGCGACGCGGAGGGCGAUGGCGAGGCCAGCAACGCCAGCAAUGAUUCAGGAGGUGCCCCCGAGGAUGCAUUGGGGGAUUUAUCCGACUGACCGCGUGUUGUCCCUACUUCAUUACCCUUCGACCCGCUAGGGCCUCGAGUUAGCCUGCGGAGGGCUGUGCUGUCUGGAGCGUCUCCUGAACAAGCCCAUCGAACCUAUAAUGAAAACCUCUUGAGAGGGUGUGACGACGGCAGCCUGGGCUGCACGCAAGCUAGGCCUGCCCCGGCUCGCGAGGGGCUCACGAGGGGAGGCAGCUGAGGCGAAGUGGUAACCAGAACGCGAGAGAUUGCUCGAACGAGAAUAAACACCCCUUCCCCGAACACACGCAAAUCUUCAAGCUCAAAUCCAACUUAAAUCCAACGGGGGAAAACGACAGCCAAGGGGAAAAGCAACGAAAGCAGAAAAAGGCCGUGUACGGCAGCUAGUCUAGUCUUGGACGUCUUCUCACCAGCGUAGAGCUAAGUGCUGCCACUGGGCGUGGGAGGGAGCCCCAGGGCCUGUGGCCGGCAGCCCUGAAACUCCGGGGCGUGUACACCCCCGCUCAUUAUUACGUGAGAGUGUCACAGGGCAACGAGCUUCACAGGCACUGGGCCUUCUUCACAGGUACCGGCCUUGCUUCAUAUCGCCAGACGAGGGGCCCGCCUUGCGCCACACUCUAGUGCCACCGACGACGACCGAAAACCAGGACGCCGCCGAUGGGGUAGAGCGGUCGCCAGCGGUUCCCCUGACGACCACAGGUCCUCUGCCAGGGGCAGGCCCUGAGGCACCUCCCCAGCAGAGGGCCUACCUCCUAGGGACGCCUUGCUCUGAACGCCGUGGUGGUGAUGCAGGAUCUUGGACCCUCUCUUGCAGCCCCCGGCGCCCUCCUCCUGAGGGGUAGGAAGCUGCGGGAGUGGGGCAGCCGCCCGCUGUGGUGACCUGUACCUCCUGCGAUCCAUGGUUGGCGUAUGCCUGCUCCUGAGGAAUUAGUGGUACCUGAUAAUCAUUGCUUCCAGCAUAGCCGACGGGGCCUUCCCGGGGCUCCUGGAAGAGCUCAGCUUCUGGUGCCUCGUCCCCCCAGCUUGGGCCGAGGAGCGAGCCUUGUUCGUCCUCAUGUGCGCGCCCUUGGUCCAUCAUGUGGGGCACGUACUCUUCUGGGGCCGCCAUCCCGAAGGCCACGCCGUAGCGCCCUGCGUGCCAUGCAGUGCUGCUUGAGGCGCCCGCCUGGGGGUGGUAGCACGGCGACCCAUCGGGGCCGUGGGUUGUGGCGAGUCCUUCUUCGCUGGCCAGGGGCGGGGGCAGCGCCGCUGCUGGCCCGACGCUGACGGCCUGGCCGGCGUUGGGGUGGCCUUGGAGUCCGCUUGGGGCUGCACGGGUGUGCGUCGAGCCUCCGUGUGGGCCACCCUGGACCUGAGGUGAGAGUUGGGUGCAGAAGGGGGGAGCCCCCGAGGCGGCGAAGCCCAGGAGCUCUGCCACCCGCUCUAGCAGCACGUCGCGGCCGCCUUCCAGCAGCCUGCAUUGCAGUAGCUCUCGGGCCACCGUAAGCGCGGCCCUCGAGUUCGCAUGCUCCCGGCGGGUGUACGGCGCCGUGGCCGCAGCGUGGUGGGAGGCCCUCGCCGCCGACCGCGCCUACCGCGUCGUGAGAGCUGUCGUUGCCUGUCCACGCCCCCGCGGCCCGCAGCGCCCUGCAGACCGCAAGCUGCCUGGUGCCUGGGGUUGCCUGGGGCGAGCGGCUCUGCGUGGGCGGGCCAGGCUGCCCAGGGAUCAGGGUUGCCUGCCUGGUCGCCGUACAUGAUGAUGACGAUGCGACGGGACGUGAAGCGGCAGAAGGUGGAUUCCGGCGCACCCCUACCUGGCGCGCCAAAUAUCGGAUUUCGGGUUCUGGCAGACCCUCUAGAUUCGAACACUGGGGUGCGCGCGGAGAUCUCGCCCUCUACCUACCUGUACCUCACCACCGUGCUAGGAUCUAAGCAAUCAAAGGAACAGCACAAGAGACACAGGGUUUAUACUAGUUCGGGCCACCAUUGUGGUGUAACACCCUACUCUAGUUUGUGGUGUGGUGGAUUGCCUCUUGGGUUGGUGAUGAACAAUACAAGGAAGAACAACCUCGCGAGGGUCUGUUCUUGGUUGGUGCGAUGAACUGCUAGUGGGAGUUCAGUCGCUCUUUCUACUGGUUUCCUAAUGAUGAUCCGAUGCCUCUACCUUGUGGGUGGCUAGUCCUAUUUAUAGGCGUAGGCCCUGGGCCUCUUCCCAAAUAUUGAGGGGGAAGGGCGCCAACAAUUGGCCAUUUUGAAGGGGAACAUCCAGUACACUUAUCCUGACUAAAGCUGGUCCUCGCCUGUCAAAGGCUCUGGUGGUGACGCCUUCCUGGGCUCCACGAUGACUUCCUUCCUGCCGCUGCGACGGUCUUGUUCUUGUUGCGCCGAAAUGGAUGCCUUUGCUUGAUGCUCUCGCCUGCGCUUGCCCCCUUUGCACCAAAGGGGAAAGAAGGACGCUGCGCGGGCUGGCGCCCUCCUGGCGCCCUUGGUCGUCAUGGCUUGCGUCAUGGGCACCUCAUGAGGUACCCCGCCUUGAUCUCUCUGCCUCCUCGUGAGCCAGCCUGACUAGGCCGUGCCUGAGGAAGCUUCCUGUCGUCCACCCCACGAGGCUUGGCCCCUCGCGAGGGUCUUGAGCUCGUGCUGAUGAAGAUGGGCCAUGCUGGGCCGCCCCUUGAGCCACGCCGCAGGCCGCAGGCAGGCAAGUCUAGGGACCCCCGUUCCCAGAAUGCCGACAAUAUUCUUCAUUAUGCUCUCUUUAUGUUUCAGUUCUUAUCUUUUGUGUGACCAUCAUUGAAAUCAUCAUGCUUAGCUAGGGGCGUUAAACGUUAGCGCUUUUUGGGAGGCAACCCAAUUUAAUUUUUGUUCUUUGCCUUUUGAUUCUGUUUGUUAAUAAAUAAUUCAUCUAGCCUCUUUUUAGAUGUGGUUUUAUUUUUAAUUAGUGUUUGUGCCAAGCAGGACCUUUGGGAAGACUUGGGUGAAGUCUAUGCGAUCUUGCUGUAAAAAACAGAAACUUUUGCGCUCACGAGAUUGGCUGCCAUUUCUUACUGGAGAGUCCUUUUAGGUUUAUUAUUUUUGCAUAUGAUUAAUAGACAAAUUCCUCAGGUCCAACAGUUUAUUUGAGAAUUUUUGGAGUUCCAGAAGUAUACGUUUGAUACAGAUUACUACAGACUGUUCUGUUUUUGACAGAUUCUAUUUUCUAUGUGUUGUUUGCUUAUUUUGAUGAAUCUAUGAGUAGUAUCGGAGGGUAUGAACCAUAUAGAAGUUGGAAUACAGUAGAUAUUAUACCAAUAUGAAUUUAUAAUGAGUUCACAACAGUACCUAAGUGGUGGUUUAUUUUCUUAUACUAACGGAGCUUACGGGUUUUCUGUUGAGUUUUGUGUUGUGAAGUUUUCAAGUUUUGGGUAAAGAUUCGAUGGACUAUGGAAUAAGGAGUGGCAAGAGCCUAAUCUUGGGGAUGCCCAAGGCACCCCAAGGUAAUAUUCGAGGACAACCAAGAGCCUAAGCUUGGGCAUGCCCCGGAUGGCAUCCCCUCUUUCAUCUUCGUCUAUCGGUAACUUUACUUGAAGCUAUAUUUUUAUUCACCACAUGAUAUGUGUUUUUCUUGGAGCUUAAUUUUGUUUUACUUAGGUUUUGCUUGCUGUUUGAAUAAAAUACCAUGAUCUGAAAUUCUUAAAUGUUUGAGAGUCUUCACAUAGUUACAUAAUUAUUCGACUACUCGUUGAUCUUCACUUAUAUCUUUUGGAGUAGUUUGUCGUUUGCUCUAAUACUUCACUUAUAUCUUUUUAGAGCAAGACAAUGUUUUUAUUUUGAAGAAAUAGAUGAACUCUCAUGCUUCACUUAUAUUAUUUUGGGAGUCUCUUAAACAUCAUGGUAAUUUGCUUACGUUAUGAAUUUAGUCCUAAUAUGAUAGGCAUCCAAGAGGGAUAUGAUAAAAACUUUCAUAUAGAGUGCAUUAAAUACUAUGAUAAAUUUGAUACUUGAUAAUUGUUUUGAGAUAUAAAGGUGGUAAUGUUAGAGUCAUGCUAGUUGGGUAAUUAUGAAAUUGAAAAAUACUUGUGUUAAAGUUGGCAAGUCCCGUAGCAUGCACAUAUGGUAAACGUUAUGUGACAAAUUUGAAGCAUGGGGUGUUCUUUGAUUGCUUUCCUUAUGAGUGGAGGCCGGGAUCGCGCGAUGGUUUACUCCUACCAACCCUUCCCCUAGGAGAAUGUGUAGUAGUACUUUUCUUCGAGGGCUAAUAAACUUUUGCAAUAAGUAUAUGAGUUCUUUAUGACUAAUGUGAGUCCAUGGAUAAUACGCACUCUCACCCUUCCGCAAUUUUGUAGCCUCUACGGUACCGUGCAUUGCCUUUUCUCACCUUGAGAGUUGGUGCAAACUUCGCCGGUGCAUCCAAACCCCGUGAUAUGAUAUGCUCUUUCACACAUAAACCUCCUCAUAUCUUCCUGAAAACAGCCACCAUACCUACCUAUUAUGGCAUUUCCAUAGCCAUUCUGAGAUAUAUUGCCAUGCAACUUUCUACCGUUCCGUUUAUUAUGACACGCUCCAUCAUUGUCAUAUUGCUUUUGCAUGAUCAUGUAGUUGACAUCGUAUUUGUGGCAAAGCCACCUUUAUAAUUCUUUCAUACAUGUCGCUCUUGAUUCAUUGCAUGUCCCGGUACACCGCCGGAGGCAUUCACAUAGAGUCAUAUUUUGUCCUAAGUAUUGAGUUGUAAUUCUUGAGUUGUAAAUAAAUAAAAGUGUGAUGAUCUUCAUUAUUACAGCAUUGUCCCAAGUGAGGAAAGGAUGAUGGAGACUAUGAUUCCCCCACAAGUCGGGAUGAGACUCCGGACAUUAUGAAAAAUAAAACAGGCCAAAGAAGCCCCAAAAAAGAGGCCAAAUAAGUCCAAAUAAAAAAUAAAAAAAUAAAAAAAUGAGAGAAAAAGAGAGAAGGGACAAUGUUACUAUCCUUUUUCCACACUUGUGCUUCAAAUAGCACCAUGAUCUUCAUGAUAGAGAGUCUCCUAUGUUGUCACUUUCAUAUACUAGUGGCAAUUUUUCAUUAUAGAACUUGGCUUGUAUAUUCCAAUGAUGGGCUUCCUUAAAAUGUCCUAGGUCUUCGUGAGCAAGCAAGUUGGAUGCACACCCACUUAGUUUCUUUUUUAGCUUUCAUACAUUUAUAGCUCUAGUGCAUCCGUUGCAUGGCAAUCCCUACUCCUUGCAUUGACAUCAAUUGAUGGGCAUCUCCAUAGCCUGUUGAUUAGCCGCGUCAAUGUGAGACUUUCUCCUUUUUUGUCUUCUCCACAUAAUCCCUAUCAUCAUACCCUACUCCACCCAUAGUGCUAUAUCCAUGGCUUACACUCAUGUAUUGCGUCAGGGUUGAAAAAGCUGAAGCACGUUAAAAAUUAUGAACCAAUUGCUUGGCUGAAACCGGGGUUGUGCAUGAUGGGAGCAUUUUGUGUGACAAAAAUGAUGCAUGGCCUAACUAUAUGAUUUUGUAGGUAUAAGCUUUCUUUGGCUAUGCUAUUUUGAUAAGACAUGAUUACUUGUUAGUAUGAUUGAAGUAUUACUAUUUUUAUGUUAAUAUUAAACUUUUGUUUUGAAUCCUAUGGAUCUGAAUAUUCUUGCCACAAUAAAGAAGAUUACAUUGAUAAAUAUGUUAGGUAGCAUUCCACAUCAAAAAUUUUGUUUUUAUCAUUUACCUACUCAAGGACGAGCAGGAAUUAAGCUCGGGGAUGCUUGAUACGUCUCCAACGUAUCUAUAAUUUUUUAUUGUUCCAUGCUAUUACAUUAUCUGUUUUGGAUGUUUAAUGGGCUUUACUAUGCACUUUUAUAUUAUUUUUGGGACUAACCUAUUAACCGGAGGCCCAGCCCAAAUUGUUGUCGUUGUUUUUUUGCCUAUUUUAGUGUUUCGCAGAAAAGGAAUAUCAAACGGAGUCCAAACGGACUGAAACCUUCGGGAGAAUCGUUUUUGGAACAAAUGCAAUCCAGGAGACUUGGAGUAGACAUCAGGGAAGCAACGAGGUGGCCACGAGGGUCCAGGGCGCGCUCCCACCCUCGUGGGCCCCUCGUGGCUCCCCUGACCGACUUCUUUCACCUAUAUAUAAUCAUAUACCCUGAAAACAUCUGGGAGCACCAUAGAUCGGGAGUUCCGCUGCCGCAAGCCUCUGUAGACACCAAAAACCAAUCAGGACCCUGUUCCGGCACCUUGCUGGAGGGGGGAUCCCUCACCAGUGGCCAUCUUCAUCAUCCCAGCGCUCUCCAUGAUGAGAAGGGAGUAGUUCACCCUCGGGGCUGAGGGUAUGUACCAGUAGCUAUGUGUUUGAUCUCUCUCUCUCUCUCUCUCUCUCUCUCUCUCUCUCUCUCUCUCUCGUGUUCUUGAUAUGGCACGAUCUUGAUGUAACACAAACUUUGCUAUUAUAGUGGGAUCUUAUGAUGUUUCUCUCCCUCUACUCUCUUGUAAUGGAUUGAGUUUUCCCUUUGAGGUUAUCUUAUCGGAUUGAGUAUUUAAGGAUUUGAGAACACUUGAUGUAUGUCUUGCAUGUGUUUAUCUGUGGUGACAAUGGGAUAUUUACGUGAUCUACUUGAUGUAUGUUUUGGUGAUCAACUUGUGGGUUUAGUGACCUUGUGAACUUAUGCAUAGGGGUUGGCACACGUUUUCAUCUUGACUCUUCGGUAGAAACUUUGGGGCACUCUUUGAAGUACUUUGUGUUGGUUGAAUAGAUAAAUCUGAGAUUGUGUGAUGCAUAUCGUAUAAUCAUGCCCACAGAUACUUGAGGUGACAUUGGAGUAUCUAGGUGACAUUAGGGUUUUGGUUGAUUUGUGUCUUAAGGUGUUAUUCUAGUAUUAACUCUAUGAUAGAUCGAUCAGAAAGGAUAACUUUGAGGUGGUUUCGUACCCUACACUAAUCUCUUCAUUUGUUCUCCGCUAUUAGUGACUUUGGAGUGACUCCUUGUUGCAUGUUGAGGGAUUCUUAUAUGAUCUAAUUAUGUUAUUAUUGUUGAGAGAACUUGCACUAGUGAAACUACGAACCUUAGGCCUUGUUUCCUACCAUUGCAAUACCGUUUAUGCUCACUUCUAUCACUUGUUACCUCGCUGUUUUUAUAUUUUCAGAUUACAAAAAACCUAUAUCUGCCAUCCAUAUUGCACUUGUGUCACCAUCUCUUCGUAGAACUAGUGCACCUAUACAAUUUACCAUUGUAUUGGGUGUGUUGGGGAAACAAGAGACUCUUCGUUAUUUGGUUGCAGGGUUGUUUGAGAGAGACCAUCUUCAUCCUACGCCUCCCAUGGAUUGAUAAACCUUAGGUCAUCCACUUGAGGGAAAUUUGCUACUACCCUACAAACCUCUGCACUUGGAGGCCCAACAACAUCUACAAGAAUAAGGUUGCAUAGUAGACAUCAUGAACCAAAAUGUCGCAAUAGCAACAAGUUGAAUAGAUAUCCCUGUUUUAAUAGAGGUAAAAAAGGAAUCAAUUACUGGCAAAAUAAAGGAGGAUGAAACAUGCGGCCACAAAAAUGGUAAUCCCGCCAAUCCCUAACAAGUGUUGCAGUUUUGAAAUAAGAUUCAGUAGUUAAUUCUCAGGGUGGCAUUGCUUAAUUUUACCAGCGGCAUUAGAUUAAUGAAAAGCAUAAAUAGUUCCAGGGAGAGUGGGCGCAACAAUAUGUGCUUCCACCUACUUAUAAAGGGGGUGAUGCAGAGUUUGUUGUAACAAAGUAACAAGCAUCAUGUCUGGGUUGGUCCCAUUUUUGUUCACUACUUAAUGGGAAAAGUCAGCAAUACAAUAGCUUCAAUUCAACAUUUAUUUAAAACAGUACCAAUACAAGUAUCACAACAUCUCAAAAGCACACUGCACAAUCAUGUGGAUGAAGGCUUGUACUGACCUUUCAUGAGACGACCAAUAUAAAAUACGAAUCUACCAACACGAAUAGGAAAUCCAAUCUCGUUUUGUGCAGUUGCACUAAAAUGAAUUAAAGUGUUUCGCGUAGCGAAGAAAAAUGUCGCGAUAGCAACAAGUUGAAUAGAUACCCCUAUUUUAACAGUGGCAAAAAAGGAAACAAUUACCUGCCAAUAAAGGAGGAUGAAACAAAUGGUGACAGAAAGAAGCAUCUAACUUAUCUUUAUGGAAAACAAAGUAGGAUAGUAGCAUUUCUAAAACGGUUGCAUUGAUUAAUAUUAAUAGAGAUAUUCUCUUAAAACAACAUUCGUUAAAAAAUGUAAUUUACUUUUAACAGUGGCAUUGCUUCAAUUUUCCGGCGGUAUUCUUAGAUUAACAACAGCAAAAUAGUUGUAUGGGACAUGUGACAUGGGACAUGCCAGCACCAUGUGCGUCCACACGUAUAAAUGGGUGAUGCAGAAUAUGUAGCCAAGCAGUAUAUCUGCAUUGGUUCCAUAUUUGUUCUCUUUAAACCUUUUUCCUAUGUGAGGGCAGCAAAUCUAGUCCUGCACAAACUACCCGACCCCCGAGUUUCAGGUUACCCCCUUUUUCCCUUUUCG